ACGAACGCUGGCGGCGUGCUUAACACAUGCAAGUCGAACGGGGCGAAGAGGAGCUUGCUCUCCUAGCCUAGUGGCAAACGGGUGAGUAACGCGUAGGCAACCUGCCCUUCAGAUGGGGACAACAUUUCGAAAGGAAUGCUAAUACCGAAUGAUGUGCAUUGGUCGCAUGACCGAUGUACCAAAGGCCGGGCAACCGGUCACUGAAGGAUGGGCCUGCGUCUGAUUAGCUAGUUGGUGGGGUAACGGCUCACCAAGGCGACGAUCAGUAGCCGGUCUGAGAGGAUGAACGGCCACAUUGGGACUGAGACACGGCCCAAACUCCUACGGGAGGCAGCAGUGGGGAAUCUUCCGCAAUGGGCGCAAGCCUGACGGAGCAACGCCGCGUGAGUGAAAGAAGGUUUUCGGAUCGUAAAGCUCUGUUGUCAGGGACGAGAGACUUAUUCAGGAAAUGGGAUAAGGAGGACGGUACCUGACGAGAAAGCCACGGCUAACUACGUGCCAGCAGCGGC
rnacentral:rRNA from 1 species